rnacentral:hammerhead_ribozyme from 1 species
AUCCAGCUGACGAGUCUCAAAUAAGAUGAAAUGCGCGUUCUCGAU